rnacentral:rRNA from 1 species
UUCGCCCUUCCGGUUGAUCCUGCCGGAGGUUACUGCUAUCGGUGUUCGACUAAGCCAUGCGAGUCAAAUGUUCUUCGUGAACAUGGCGGACUGCUCAGUAACACGUGGAUAACCUGCCCUUAGGUUCGGCAUAACUCCGGGAAACUGGAGAUAAUUCCAAAUAGGUCAAAUAUGCUGGAAUGCUUUUUGGCCAAAAGACCUCGGUUGCCUAAGGAUGGAUCUGCGGUCUAUCAGGUUGUAGUGGGUGUAACGUACCUACUAGCCUACGACGGAUAUGGGUUGUGAGAGCAAGAGCCCAGAGAUGGAUUCUGAGACAUGAACCCAGGCCCUACGGGGCGCAGCAGGCGCGAAAACUUUACAAUGCGGGAAACCGCGAUAAGGGGACACCGAGUGCCAGCAUUUAUGUUGGCUGUCCACAUGUGUAAACGGCAUGUGUUAGCAAGGGCCGGGCAAGACCGGUGCCAGCCGCCGCGGUAACACCGGCGGCCCGAGUGGUAAUCACUUUUAUUGGGUCUAAAGGGUCCGUAGCCGGUUUGAUCAGUUCUUCGGGAAAUCUGACAGCUCAACUGUUAGGCUUCCGGGGAAUACUGUCAGACUUGGGACCGGGAGAGGUAAGAGGUACUACAGGGGUAGGAGUGAAAUCUUGUAAUCCCUG